rnacentral:rRNA from 1 species
AUUGAACGCUGGCGGCAGGCCUAACACAUGCAAGUCGAGCGGAGCGGCGGACGGGUGAGUAAGGCCUAGGAAUCUGCCUGGGAGUGGGGGAUAACGUCCGGAAACGGGCGCUAAUACCGCAUACUAUCAGAUGAGCCUAGGUCGGAUUAGCGAGUGGGUGGGGUAAAGGCUUACCAAGGCGACGAUCCGUAACUGGUUUGAGAGGAUGAUCAGUCACACUGGAACUGAGACACGGUCCAGACUCCUACGGGAGGCAGCAGUGGGGAAUAUUGCACAAUGGGGGCAAGCCUGAUCCAGCCAUGCCGCGUGUGUGAAGAAGGCCUUCGGGUUGUAAAGUACUUUUAGCGGGGAGGCGGUACCUGCAGAAGAAGCACCGGCUAACUCCGUGCCAGCAGCCGCGGUAAUAC